rnacentral:rRNA from 1 species
UACGGAGGGGGCUAGCGUUGUUCGGAAUUACUGGGCGUAAAGCGCGCGCAGGCGGACCUGCAAGUCGGGGGUGAAAGCCCGAGGCUCAACCUCGGAACUGCCUUCGAUACUGCGGGUCUCGAGUCCGGGAGAGGUGAGUGGAAUUCCUAGUGUAGAGGUGAAAUUCGUAGAUAUUAGGAAGAACACCAGUGGCGAAGGCGGCUCACUGGCCCGGUACUGACGCUGAGGCGCGAAAGCGUGGGGAGCAAACAGG